UACGUAGGCAGCGAGCGUUGUUCGGAGUUACUGGGCGUAAAGGGUGCGUAGGCGGUUGUUUAAGUCAGGGGUGAAAUCCUGGAGCUCAACUCUAGAACUGCCUUUGAUACUGAGGACCUUGAGUUCGGGAGAGGUGAGUGGAACUGCGAGUGUAGAGGUGAAAUUCGUAGAUAUUCGCAAGAACACCAGUGGCGAAGGCGGCUCACUGGCCCGAUACUGACGCUGAGGUGCGAAAGCGUGGGGAGCAAACAGG
rnacentral:rRNA from 1 species